rnacentral:rRNA from 1 species
GACGAACGCUGGCGGCACGCUUAACACAUGCAAGUCGAACGGAGAAUAUCGAAGCUUGCUUUGAUAUUCUUAGUGGCGGACGGGUGAGUAACACGUGAGUAACCUGCCUCUGAGAGUGGGAUAGCUUCUGGAAACGGAUGGUAAUACCGCAUGAAAUCAUAGUAUCGCAUGGUACAAUGAUCAAAGAUUUAUCGCUCAGAGAUGGACUCGCGUCUGAUUAGCUAGUUGGUAAGGUAACGGCUUACCAAGGCGACGAUCAGUAGCCGGACUGAGAGGUUGAUCGGCCACAUUGGGACUGAGACACGGCCCAGACUCCUACGGGAGGCAGCAGUGGGGAAUAUUGCACAAUGGGGGAAACCCUGAUGCAGCGAUGCCGCGUGGAGGAAGAAGGUUUUCGGAUUGUAAACUCCUGUUGAAGAGGACGAUAAUGACGGUACUCUUUUAGAAAGCUCCGGCUAACUACGUGCCAGCAGCCGCGGUAAA